rnacentral:rRNA from 1 species
CAGUCGCCACGGGAAUACGUAGGUGGCAAACGUUGUCCGGAAUUAUUGGGCGUAAAGCGCGCGCAGGUGGUUAAUAAGUCUGAUGUGAAAGCCCACGGCUCAACCGUGGAGGGUCAUUGGAAACUGUUAAACUUGAGUGCAGGAGAGGAGAGUGGAAUUCCACGUGUAGCGGUGAAAUGCGUAGAGAUGUGGAGGAACACCAGUGGCGAAGGCGACUCUCUGGUCUGUAACUGACGCUGAGGAGCGAAAGCGUGGGGAGCGAACAGGAUUAGAUACCCCUGUAGUCCCUGUCUCUUAUACA